rnacentral:misc_RNA from 1 species
UCCGAGUUGACCCCUGCUGUGCCGAAGUCAACACAUUAAGCACUCCGCCUGGGGAGUACGGUCGCAAGACUGAAACUCAAAGGAAUUGACGGGGGCCCGCACAAGCGGUGGAGCAUGUGGUUUAAUUCGAAGCAACGCGCAGAACCUUACCUGGGUUUGAACUGUACAGGCAAGGCUCAGAGAUGAGCCCCCCUCUUCGGAGGUCUGUGCAGAGGUGCUGCAUGGCUGUCGUCUGCUCGUGUCGUGAGAUGUUGGGUUAAGUCCCGCAACGAGCGCAACCCUUGUUCACAGUUACUAACGGGUAAAGCCGAGGACUCUGUGGAGACUGCCGGUGAUAAACCGGAGGAAGGUGGGGAUGACGUGUAACCGAAUCU